AAUUAGAGCUAGCAAUCAUUUUCACAUGAGACGUUUUCUCUGCAGAAGGACUCCUUUGGCUUUGCGGGAAGCACUAAAAGUCAGGCAUCUACUACAGUCGAAAGCGAUUUCUUUUUAACCAGAAGUAUAAAAGUAAGAAGCAUGAAGUACUCUACAGCUGAGUAUGUAACUAGAAUUUUUGGACAUGUUACUUCCAGACAAAAGCACUAGGUUCCUGGAUCUGGUAAUCUGGGGGAGGACCAAGACAAAGACAGUGGUACUGUGAAGCCUGUAACUUGCUCCUUCCUGAAGUUUUCCUCAGGGCAAUGUGAUGAGCAAGAAGUUGGGAACAACAGAGGGAUGUGGCUCUGAGCCAUGCCUCAAGCUGGCUCCUGGCUGGCCCAGUGCGGUGAUAAUGAAGAUAUCUGCCUGGAUUACAGCUGUGUUACAAAACCUGUGCUGCAAAUUCUUGUGGCCACCUGUAAGCCAGCAACAGUGACCCAGCUGGA